rnacentral:rRNA from 1 species
GAUGAACGCUGGCGGCGUGCCUAAUACAUGCCAGUCGAGCGAACAGACGAGGAGCUUGCUCCUCUGACGUUAGCGGCGGACGGGUGAGUAACACGUGGAUAACCUACCUAUAAGACUGGGAUAACUUCGGGAAACCGGAGCUAAUACCGGAUAAUAUAUUGAACCGCAUGGUUCAAUAGUGAAAGACGGUUUUGCUGUCACUUAUAGAUGGAUCCGCGCCGCAUGAGCUAGUUGGUAAGGUAACGGCUUACCAAGGCAACGAGGCGUAGCCGACCUGAGAGGGGGGGGGCCCACCUGGGACGGGACACGGCGACAAGGCCACUGAGAGAGGGACCAGAAGGCAACCGGCGGCAAGGGGGGAAAGCAGGACGGACUAGGCGGGAGGGAGAGAGAAAGUUGUCGGGUGCGAAAAGCUUGGUUUUGGGGGAAAAACAAAUUUCGAAGGAGCUAAACCGUGAUUGACGGUAAUUAAUAAAAAAGCAACGGCUAACUACGUG